CCACCUGAACCCAUGCCGAACUCAGAAGUGAAACGCCGUAGCGCCGAUGGUAGUGUGGGGUCUCCCCAUGCGAGAGUAGGACACUGCCAGGCA
rnacentral:rRNA from 2 species